CUCAGCUCCUGGUGAUCCAGGACACGGAGCUUCCAGGGGCUUUUCCCUCUGGAAACACUUUGCAGUCCCUCUUGCACUGAUGAAUGACAUGGAAGAGACAGCCAAGUUACUGUUUCACUGCUCUCCGCUGGGACUCUGACAAGCGCCGAGCUCCUCGCAGAUGACACAGAAUAAUUGAGAUGUCCUUCUGCUGACCUUCAGUGCCUGCCAGCGCUCACAUCCCUGCUGGGGACGAGGGGAGCUGCAGAAGGCGAAUCCAAGUGCAGGCACAGGCCUGGCCAUUCCCAGCCCAGGAGCUUCUCCAGAGGAAGGAAGAGGAGAUAGAGGCUGGUUUAGAUUACGGGAACAUUGAAAGGAGCCGGUGCUGUUAGCAAAGAGGGUUGCUGGUUGUUGUUAUCACUGCACCCAGAGAUAAACCAGGAGUG
rnacentral:lncRNA from 1 species